rnacentral:rRNA from 1 species
UACGUAGGGUGCGAGCGUUAAUCGGAAUUACUGGGCGUAAAGCGUGCGCAGGCGGUUUUGUAAGCCGGAUGUGAAAUCCCCGGGCUUAACCUGGGAAUGGCAUUCGGGACUGCAAGGCUGGAGUGCGGCAGAGGAGACUGGAAUUCCCGGUGUAGCGGUGAAAUGCGUAGAUAUCGGGAGGAAUACCUAUGGCGAAAGCAGGCUACUGGACCGUCACUGACUCUGAUCUGCGAAAGCUAGGGGAGCAAACAGG